rnacentral:rRNA from 1 species
ACUCCCUCUUUCUUCGUGCUUAACACAUGCAAGUCUAACGGAAAGGCCCUGCUUGCAGGGUACUCGAGUGGCGAACGGGUGAGUAACACGUGGGUGAUCUGCCCUGCACUUCGGGAUAAGCCUGGGAAACUGGGUCUAAUACCGGAUAGGAGCCAUUUUUAGUGUGAUGGUUGGAAAGUUUUUUCGGUGUAGGAUGAGCUCGCGGCCUAUCAGCUUGUUGGUGGGGUAAUGGCCUACCAAGGCGGCGACGGGUAGCCGGCCUGAGAGGGUGGACGGCCACAUUGGGACUGAGAUACGGCCCAGACUCCUACGGGAGGCAGCAGUGGGGAAUAUUGCACAAUGGGCGCAAGCCUGAUGCAGCGACGCCGCGUGGGGGAUGACGGCCUUCGGGUUGUAAACUCCUUUCGCUAGGGACGAAGCUUUUUGUGACGGUACCUAGAUAAGAAGCACCGGCUAACUACGUG